UGAUUUGUUCUAGGAGCGAACGAAGCAAUAUCCAGAGUACAGGCCAAGUUACCUUCGGUGAUUUUUCUGAUACUGAAAAUGUCUCACUUCAUUAUCAAUAUCUUGGGCAGGCCCUGAAGACAUCCACCUAUCCAGUUCUCUUGCUAGCUGUCUUGACAAUAAGCUCCCUGCUCUUACAUUUACACUAUGUUUCUAUGUUUUAUGACGUUUGUAAUAUUUAUUUCAUUAAUUUUUUGUGUUAUCAGUUUAAAGUUAUUAAUCCUUCAUUUAAAAUUGUUGUCUUUAGAGAUGUUUAAGCGAAGAUUAAGGUUUAAACUGAUAUUCUGAUGUUUUUAUGUUACAGAGUAAGCAAUCGGUCAAUUGGGCAUCACAUUUAUGGCCCAAACGAUUGCAUUUUCAUGGGACUGUUGACAAAUGCUCAGUAAUUGAUGCUUAAUAAGUUAGACAAUGAUUAAAUAAAUACCAGGAGCUUUGCUUUUGCCUGAUCGAUUCUUGAGUGUUCAAUUUGGUGUUCUUGAGAAGGAAUCAGGUUUAGAGAGUGACGAAGAGUUCAGGACGGUGAUGGAAGUCCCACCUCUGGUAGGAAUAACGUAUCAACAGUCCUUCUAAACUGCAUUAAGGCCACAGGUGAAGGUGGUGAAAGAAAGAUGUAAGAGCCAACCAAACAAUGAAAACGUGAGUCUUCAAAGUUGAAAAUUGUUCGAUCUUAAUGUGUUUUAUGGUUUUCCAAGACAGUUAGAGGCUCCAUACUCAAAUUCUAUGGUACGUUUGUUUACUUAGAUUUUUUAUGAGAACUGCACCAUCUUUACUUGGUUUCAUUUGUCCUCAACAUGUUUAUUUUCCAUUAGACCAUAA